rnacentral:tmRNA from 1 species
AACGGCUAAAACUUAUACAGCUCGCUCCAAGCACCCUGCCACUCGGGCGGCGCGGAGUUAACUAAGUAGAGAUGGCUAAGCAUGUAGAACCGAUAGCGGAGGACUGGCGGACGGGGGUUCAAAUCCCCCCGGCUCCACCA